ensembl:lncRNA
CUGCAAGCAAGAUGCUUUGGGACCUAAUCCCCCUUUGGAAACAAGGCAGCACGUUUUGCCUUGCAGCACGAGGGCAAUGCUUCAUACCCAGAGCAGAAGUUCUACUUCAGCCAGAUGAGUCCUGCAAAGAAACUGUGUUUCACAGGCCUUUGCAAGAGAUGUUCCCAGUAGGCUGUAAGAGCACUGUGCAGAGCGAGUUGUUUCUUAGCUGCCCAAAGAGCUGGAUUCAAGAUGGUUUGGGGCCUAAAACCCCUUUGCAAACAAGGCAGGACGUUGUGCCUUGCAGCUCUAGGGCAACGUAGCACACCCAGAGCAGAAGUUGUACUUGAGCCAGAUCAGACCUGUCAAGAAACUGCGUUUAACAGGCCUUUGUAAGUGAUGUUCCCAUAAGCAGUGAGAGCACUGUGCAGAGCGAGUUGUUUCAUAGCUUCCCAAACACCUGGAAGCAAGAUGCUUUGGGGCAUAAAUCCACCUUUGCAAACAAGGCAGGACGUUGUGCCUUUCAGCUCUAGGGUAAUGAAGCAAACCCAGAGCAGAAGUUCUACUUCAGCCAGACAGGACUGCAAAGAAACUGCGUUUCACAGGCCUUAUUAAGAAUGUUCCCAGUAGGCUGUAAGAGCACUGUGCUGAGCGAGUUGUUUCUUAGCCUCCAAGAGAGCUGGAAGCAAGAUGGUUUGGGGCCUAAAUCCAUCUUUGGAAACCAGGCAGCACUUUGUGCCUUGCAGCUGUAGGGCAAUGUACCACAACCAGAGCAGGAGUUCUAUAUCAGCCAGAUCAGGCCUUCCAAGGAACUUCGUUUCACAGGGCUUCUUAAGAAAUGUUCCCGGUAGGCUGUAAGAGCUCUGUUCAGAUCGAGUUGUUUCUUAGCUGCAGAAAGAGUUGGAAGCAAGAUUCUUUGGCGCCCCUCUCACCCUUUGGAAACAAGGCAGAACUUUGUGUCGUGCACCUCUAGGGCAACGUAGCACACCCAGAGCAGAACGUCUACUUCAGCCAGAUCAGGCCUGCAAAGAAACUGCGUUUCACAGGCCUUUGUAAGAGAUGUUCCCGGUAGGAUGUAAGAGCACUGUGCAGAGCGAGUUGUUUCUUAGCUUCCCAAAGAGCUGGAAGCAAGAUGCUCUGGGGCCCAACUCGCCCUUUGUUAAGAAGCCUGCACGUGUGCCUUUCAGCUCUAGGGCAAUGUGGCACACCCAGGGCAGAAGUUCUACUUCAGCAAGAUCUGUCCUGCCAAGAAACUGGGUUUCACAGGCCUUUGUAAAAGAUGUUCCCGGUAGUCUGUAAGAGCACUGGGCAGAGCGAGAUGUUUCCUAGCUUCCUAAAUAGCUGGAAGCAAGAUGCUCUGGGUCCCACUUGGCCCUUUGUUAAGAAGCCUGCACGUUGUGCCUUUCAGUUCUGGGCAAUGUGGCACACCCAGAGCAGAAGUUCAACUUCAGCCAGAUCAGCCCUGCAAAGAAACUGCGUUUAACAGGCCAUUGUAAGAGAUGUUACCAGUAGGCUGUAAGAGCACUGUGCAGGGCGAGGUGUUUCUUAGCUUCCCAAAGAGCUGGAAGCAAGACAGUUUGUGGCUUGACUCUUUUAGCAGCAAUUACUCAGCGCUUUGUGUCUUCCAGCUCUAGAGCCAUGUAGGACAUGGCUUAGAGCAGAUGUUCCAAUGCGGUGAGAUCGUGGCUGGAAACAAACUGCAUUUCAGACUUUUGUAUGAGAGGUUCCUGGUAGGUUGAAAGAGAUCUGUGGAGAGUGAGUUGUUUCUUAGCUUCCCAAAGAGCUGGAAGCAACACGGUUUGUGGCUUGUCUCCUUUGUUG